AUUUUCACUGUCUCACUGUUAGGGUUAGGGUUGCGGCGAUUCUGAGAGUUAGUUGGUGGCGAUUCUGAGCUUCUAAGAAGCAUGUCUCCUCAAUCAUCAGGUUUACUUCCUGUGACGGGAAAAUCUCAGUGAAAUGAGUGGAAUCGGAAAAUUGUAAAGUGGUAAACCCAUUAAACACAGGCAGGCGAUCUUAUUCAGCAAAUUGUUCAGCAGAAGCAGAAAAGGGUAGCGAACACUUUACAAAAAAAUAAAGACAACAAGUUUUACUUUCUUUGGACUUUCAAGAACAAAUCUGGUUCUCCACAUCACAUAAUUUCUCUGAUUAAAUCAAGCAUUCGACCCUGAGAUGUGGUUCAGACCUUACUCAAAUUUUAUCCUUCAGUGAUUUGUAGAACCUCUACUCAUACUUGGCUCAUUCCUUAGUUGAUGAUGCUUUGUUCCUCAGUUGAAGUUAUCCUCUUGUUGAGACUAGGAAUGUUUCUUUGCAGAUACUCCUUGCUCAGUUGUUGAUGCUAGCCUUUUGUAGGCUUUUGCCUGUUUUGUUUUGAGGUCCGAUUGGGACUUUCAUGUACAUUCUUUUAUCUCCUUUCCUUAUAUAUACAAGCUUACCUUACCUUAAAAAAAAAAAAAAAAAAAUUAAGACAACAAAGACACCACUAUAGAGAGAAGUUGUCCAUAAAACCUAUCAAAAAAGUCGAUGGACAGCUUCUCCCGAUCGCCCAGAAAUAAAUAGAGGGCAAAAUAUUUGAUUUAAUCACCCAAAUAGGAGAUUCAACUCCCAUCAAAAGUUGCCCUAUUUCUCUCACACCACAUGCCCCACCACAAACAGAGCGGAGUAACCCUCCAUACAUCUCUAACUCUCUUAGCCACUUGCCGACCAUGCCAAGCCUCUAUCCUCCCUUUCGUGUCCUCGGAAACAACCCAAUCCACACCAAAUAAAACCAAGAACAUGGCCCAGAUUUCCGAUGCAACAGGACUAUGUAACAAAAGAUGAUUACCAGAUUCCCCUGCAUUUUUGCACAUAAAGCACCAAUUAAUAGCAAUCUGGUGCCUUUUCCUUAGAUUAUCCAGAGUAAGAAUGCUUCCAAGAGACGCCGUUCAAGUGAAAAAGGCUACCUUAACCGGUGCUGCUGAAGUCCUCCAAACAGCUUUCCAAGGAAAAAUAGCCGUACCUCAAACACCCCCUUAGAUCCACCCUCCCACACCACUACAUCCAUGUCCUCCCACUUUAGUGCUUGCUGAUACAGUAAACCCAUAAAAUCUGUUAUCUCCAGCAGCUCCCAAUCAUUAAAACAUUUACCGAAUAACACAUUCCAAGUUACUAUCCCAUUAUCAAGUCGACAAUAGUCUGCAACCAUGGCAUGUUGAUUCACAACAAUCCUAAACAAAUGUCGGAAUCUAUUCUCCAAAACUGCAUCUCCACACCAUAAAUCCUUCCAAAAUCUAAUCUGACUCCCAUUCCCGACUUUAAACCUAAUUCGUUUUGAAAACUCAUCCCAUCCCUUCCGAAUUCCUUUCCAAACACCCACACCAGCUGAAUGAGUCACCUCACUAGACUUUCAUCCACCCCCCUCUUCCCUAUAGAGGCAAGCAAUAAUCCACCUCCACAACACUUGCCUCUCAUUCCCAAAUCUCCACAACCACUUGCCUAGGAGAGCUUUGUUGUCCCAAACCAGCUUUGUAAAGAAACUAAUUUUUUGUAGUGUUAUAUGAAUUUUUUUCCCCCGACAUUGGUCGCAUCGGGUCCCUUGAAUCACCCCACCGCCAGGCAAAUGCAGUCCUCAGUUUACAUGAACCAGACAAGUAAUAGAAAAAUUUUAUUUCUUUUAUUUUUUUGUGUUUUCUCUUCUCUCAACAAUCCUAACCUUAAUUAUUCUGAUGUCGAAUCGACAUCCAAUGUGGCAAGUUUAUUUCGAUGACGGCUCUACCACGAACUCAAAGCAGGGUUGAACUUGAGUUUUUUGCGAUCCACUCGUUUAAUUCUUCUUUUCCUCUUUUGUUUUCUUUCUGAUUUAGUUUAAUUGUAACUAUUAUGUAAUAUAGUUGAUUUGACAUGUUAAUGAUAUUAUGAAUUUGAACUGUUCA